rnacentral:rRNA from 1 species
UACGUCGGGUGCGAGCGUUAAUCGGAAUUACUGGGCGUAAAGCGUGCGCAGGCGGUUCGUCAAGUCUGAUGUGAAAGCCCCGGGCUCAACCUGGGAACUGCGUUUGAAACUACAAGGCUAGAGUGUGGCAGAGGGGGGUGGAAUUCCACGUGUAGCAGUGAAAUGCGUAGAGAUGUGGAGGAACACCGAUGGCGAAGGCAGCCCCCUGGGUUAACACUGACGCUCAGGCACGAAAGCGUGGGGAGCAAACAGGAUUAGAUACCCUGGUAGUCCACGCCCUAAACGAUGUCAACUAGUUGUCGGGUCUUAACGGACUUGGUAACGUAGCUAACGCGUGAAGUUGACCGCCUGGGGAGUACGGUCGCAAGAUUAAAACUCAAAUGAAUUGACGG